rnacentral:rRNA from 1 species
UCCUACGGGGGGCAGCAGUGGGGAAUAUUGCACAAUGGGGGAAACCCUGAUGCAGCGACGCCGCGUGAGUGAGGAAGUAUUUCGGUAUGUAAAGCUCUAUCAGCAGGGAAGAAAAUGACGGUACCUGACUAAGAAGCCCCGGCUAACUACGUGCCAGCAGCCGCGGUAAUACGUAGGGGGCAAGCGUUAUCCGGAUUUACUGGGUGUAAAGGGAGCGUAGACGGCUAAUCAAGUCAGAAGUGAAAACCCAGGGCUCAACUUUGGGACUGCUUUUGAAACUGAGUAGCUAGAGUGCAGGAGAGGUA